rnacentral:rRNA from 1 species
GUUGACCUCGGAUCAGGUAGGGAUACCCGCUGAACUUAAGCAUAUCAAUAAGCGGAGGAAAAGAAACCAACAGGGAUUGCCUCAGUAACGGCGAGUGAAGCGGCAACAGCUCAAAUUUGAAAUCUGGCGCGAGCCCGAGUUGUAAUUUGCAGAGGAUGCUUCAGGGCAGCGGCCGGUCUAAGUUCCUUGGAACAGGACGUCGUAGAGGGUGAGAAUCCCGUAUGCGACCGGUUGGCACCCGUCACGUAGCUCCUUCGACGAGUCGAGUUGUUUGGGAAUGCAGCUCCAAAUGGGUGGUAAAUUCCAUCUAAAGCUAAAUACCGGCCAGAGACCGAUAGCGCACAAGUAGAGUGAUCGAAAGAUGAAAAGCACUUUGGAAAGAGAGUUAAAAAGCACGUGAAAUUGUUGAAAGGGAAGCGCAUGCGAACAGACUUGUCGGCGGCGUUCCGCCGGUCUUCUGACCGGUCCACUCGCCGCCGGCAGGCCAGCAUCAUCCGGGCGCGCCGGACAAAGGCGCGGGGAAUGUGGCUCCUCGGAGUGUUAUAGCCCCGCGCACAAUACGGCGCCGCCCGGGUGAGGUCCGCGCUCCGGCUAGGAUGCUGGCGUAAUGGUCGCAUGCGGCCCGUCUUGAAACACGGACCAAGGAGUCUAACAUCUAUGCGAGUGUUCGGGUGUCAAACCCCGGCGCGGAAUGAAAGUGAACGGAGGUGGGAAGCGCACGCUGCACCAUCGACCGAUCCUGAUGUCUUCGGAUGGAUUUGAGUAAGAGCAUAGCUGUUGGGACCCGAAAGAUGGUGAACUAUAUCUGAAUAGAGCGAAGCCAGAGGAAACUCUGGUGGAGGCUCGCAGCGGUUCUGACGUGCAAAUCGAUCGUCAAAUUUGGAUAUAGGGGCGAAAGACU